GGACUACAACGUAAUUUUUUAAGUUUAUGACUAUUGUCUGAUUUGGAGAGUCUAAGAGGGGCCAUAUGAUGUUGAUGAGAUAUGGGUUGAGAUGUGUGAUUCUAGAAGUGUUAGUUGAACCAUUGUGCAGGUUGGGUAGGUCUAGAUGCAGGGAAAAUUCUAUCGAAAUUUCAACAAAAUCUUAGAAACUAUUUUGAUUUUAUGGUUUAAAUCAAUUAUUUAGUUUUGUUAGUCUUUUGAUAGAAAUCAGUGUGUAUGUUUAGGUGAUCGGUAUCGGCCGUCUUCUCCUUUCAGCUGGAUCAGCUGCAGUCCAGUCGACUAAUCCGAGCUGUGUGUGAGAGUUGGUGUGUAUGUGGAGUAUAUGGAUAUGGGUAGGAUGGGUAGAUGCAGCUGGAGCUUGACUUGCUGGGACUCAAUCCUUAUUAUGGAUAAGUCAGGGUAGGCACGGCUUUGAGUUGAUCUCACUGGCCCCCGCAUAUGGAUUAUUAAGUGAAAGU
rnacentral:misc_RNA from 1 species